GAUGAACGCUGGCGGCGUGCCUAAUACAUGCAAGUCGAGCGAAUGGAUUAAGAGCUUGCUCUUAUGAAGUUAGCGGCGGACGGGUGAGUAACACGUGGGUAACCUGCCCAUAAGACUGGGAUAACUCCGGGAAACCGGGGCUAAUACCGGAUAACAUUUUGAACCGCAUGGUUCGAAAUUGAAAGGCGGCUGCGGAUGUCACUUAUGGAUGGACCCGCGUCGCAUUAGCGAGUUGGUGAGGUAACGGCUCACCAAGGCAACGAUGCGUAGCCGACCUGAGAGGGUGAUCGGCCACACUGGGACUGAGACACGGCCCAGACUCCUACGGGAGGCAGCAGUAGGGAAUCUUCCGCAAUGGACGAAAGUCUGACGGAGCAACGCCGCGUGAGUGAUGAAGGCUUUCGGGUCGUAAAACUCUGUUGUUAGGGAAGAACAAGUGCUAGUUGAAUAAGCUGGCACCUUGACGGUACCUAACCAGAAAGCCACGGCUAACUACGUGCCAGCCGCCGCCGUAA
rnacentral:rRNA from 1 species